rnacentral:rRNA from 1 species
CCUACGGGAGGCAGCAGUGGGGAAUUUUGGACAAUGGGCGCAAGCCUGAUCCAGCAAUGCCGCGUGAGUGAAGAAGGCCUUCGGGUUGUAAAGCUCUUUUGUCAGGGAAGAAACGGCUGAGGAUAAUACCUUUGGCUAAUGACGGUACCUGAAGAAUAAGCACCGGCUAACUACGUGCCAGCAGCCGCGGUAAUACGUAGGGUGCAAGCGUUAAUCGGAAUUACUGGGCGUAAAGCGUGCGCAGGCGGUUUUGUAAGUCUGACGUGAAAUCCCCGGGCUCAACCUGGGAAUUGCGUUGGAGACUGCAAGGCUGGAGUCUGGCAGAGGGGGGUAGAAUUCCACGUGUAGCAGUGAAAUGCGUAGAGAUGUGGAGGAACACCGAUGGCGAAGGCAGCCCCCUGGGUCAAGACUGACGCUCAUGCACGAAAGCGUGGGGAGCAAACGAGGAUUAGACUACCCGUGGUACGUCCCGACCGACCCGUAAACCGAACGUAGUCUACUAGUUGGUUCGGGUUCGUUUAACUUAGUACGUUCGGUUAACGGUACGAGCGUAACCGUCGUGAGUAGACCGCCGUCGGGGUAGGUACGGUCGGCGAGAAGUUAAACGUACGAAAGGAAGUUAGUACGGCGUGAGACGUGACCGACGGACGACGACGAGGGAGGAGG